rnacentral:rRNA from 1 species
CGCGAAAGUUUCCUUCAGGGAGGCGAGUAGAGUGGCGCACGGGUGAGUAACACGUAGGUAAUCUACCUUUGGAUGGGGAAUAACAACCGGAAACGGUUGCUAAUACCGCAUAAUGCAGCGGCACCUAAUGGUGACAGUUGUUAAAGCGGGGGAUCGAAAGACCUCGCGUCUGAAGAGGAGCCUGCGGCGGAUUAGCUAGUUGGUAAGGUAAUGGCUUACCAAGGCGAUGAUCCGUAACCGGCCUGAGAGGGCGGUCGGUCACACUGACACUGACAUACGGGUCAGACUCCUACGGGAGGCAGCAGUCGGGAAUUUUGGGCAAUGGGCGAAAGCCUGACCCAGCAACGCCGCGUGAAGGAUGAAAUCCCUCGGGAUGUAAACUUCGCAAGAACAGGAAGAAUAAGUAAGGGUUAAUAUCUCUUACGAUGACGGUACUGUUUGUAAGCUCCGGCUAACUCCGUGCCAGCAGCCGCGGUAAUACGUAGGCAGCAAGCGUUGUUCGGAGUUACUGGGCGUAAAGAGUGCGUAGGCGGUCCUAUAAGUUCCGUGUGAAAUCUCCCGGCUCAACUGGGAGGGUGCGCGGAAGACUGUAGGGCUUGAGUGUGGGAGAGGUAAGCGGAAUUCCUGGUGUAGCGGUGAAAUGCGUAGAUAUCAGGAGGAACACCUGUGGUGUAGACAGCUUACUGGACCAUAACUGACGCUGAGGCACGAAAGCGUGGGUAGC